CCAUCCCACACCUCAUUGCCUUCUCAGCCACAUUCCUCCCAAUCUUUAUUUCAGGAGAUAUCAUUGUUCUCCAAUCUCACAUAAUUACCAUUCCAGUGUGACUCAACAGUAUUCAACGAAGCACUGAAAAAUACUCCUUGGAACAGUAAGGACUGGCGGAGUCACUGAAUCAUAACAAGGUGGAGUUGCCAGGGACCUGGAGUUCACUGUGUCCAGCUCCCUCCCCCUCCCACAUGGACAACAGAAGCUCGGAGGGAUUACCUGACCUGCCAAAGAUCCUAACAGCCAACAGAGACUCUCAGUAGAACUGGACAUGCAGAGAUCCAAGCAUGGGAAAGGGUCUGCUCCUGGGAAGUGAACAGCAGGGACGGAUGAGUCUCUAAACAGAAGAAAUCUGAUUUUCCUGCAACAUCCCUGCGAAAUCAAAGCAUGUAAGAAUCAUUAAGACAGGAAAAUCCUGCUUCUGUCUUCAUCAGUCCAUUUUGGAAAAAUGACUUAAAUCUUGGCAACUAUAGAUAACUUUGUAUAUCCUAUGUGGAUUGCUUUAGAGGUCAAGCAUACAGAGGCAGCAUUUAAUUUUCAAGCUCUGAAGGAUCCGAAGGUGGCCCAGUCCUGUUCCCCCCUCCGCAUUUUUUUCAUCAUUUAUGUAUUUUGAAACAUAUGUCAGUGUCUCUGUGUGUUUUCCAUGCAGUGCCCUGAAGAUGAGUUUCAACAUUGUUUCAUUCUCUGCGGAGUGUAAACUCCUGGAAGUCAGGGAUUGUAUUUUAUGUUAGAUGAAUGCCAGGAUUUUUCUUUAUUCCUGCAGAUCCUAGAUCAGUGCCUUUGACAGAGUGGAAACUGAAUACAAGUUUACUGUACUUGGACUGAAUUUUAAAAUAAGGAUCAUUAUACGACUAUAUCAACUGUCUUUUGUUCUGGAGAAAUAAUGCAUGGUUUACAGUGAGGCUGAGACUGAGAUGCAAUAGUCAAGCUGAUCUUGACUGAUUUCUGGGUAGGCCCGUCCAUCCCACAAACACGAGUACAGAAACCAGGUGUCCUGGGCCAUCAGACAACACAGGAUCUGAAGCCAGGCUGCUUGUUUCUUGGCAGAGGGUUGUGGCCCAAGUGGCAGGUAAUGGAUUCAGGCCCUCAGACCACUCAGGAGGUGUGUCCUGGCCCAGGUCCUGUUCAGGUGCACAGUAUUCAGAGAGUUCAUUAAAUGUCGCCUCUCGACCACCACUCAGGAAGGGGUAGGCUUCACUGUGUGGCUGAAAGGCAAUGGUUGUACCAGCAUUGCCUUAGGUCUCCUAGAAUGACUCAUAGAAUUUCUGUAAUACUCUCCAAAAUGUGUGUCUGGGAUCUGAAGGAGGAAGAAACACUUUGUACUUGAAGAUGCAAGAGAGAGUGUAGGUACUGAUAAGUCAAUCUAAUGACAAAACGUUAAAUGGGCAGCAUGAGCUACGGUUUUGUGGGAAUUUAAAAUCAGAUAUGUAUUGACUCAAGUGUUUUGGGUUAAACUCACUAAAGCAAUGAAUUGUACCUUAUAAA